GGCUCUGUAAGCAUACUUUUUAAUUAGAAAAUCUGGUUUCUUUCUCGACCAGGUAUGGAAGUUGUGCUUAAGACAAUUGGACAGGCGCUCCCAAUGUAUUGUAUGAGCAUUUUCCUCCUUCCAGUCAGUACAUGACUUGGGUUUGAAGUUGUGCUUCAAACUCUAGUAAUUUGGCAAAUCUUCAUUGGGCAUCAUCGGAUAGACUUUGUACUACAAAAAAGGUGGGUAGUACAGGCUUUUAAGAUCUUUACUACUUCAGUUUAGCCAUGCUUGGCAAAUAAGGUAGGAGGAUUCUUUCAAAUUCGAACUCCCUUUUAAGUCGUCUCUUCAAACCUAGAUACUUUUCGAAAGGUGAGUUUUUUUUAUGUAAGCGAGGGUACUAACUUGUCUUUUGUUUGGAGUAGCAUUUGUCCGCCCAAGUGUUUGCUUGAAAAGGGGUCCCAUUGGCCAUGUACUUAUGGGUUGUUCUUUUGCGGUUCAGCUACAGCGGCCUCAAAUGGGAUUUUUGCUACUCGCUUCAGGCAAGACUGAGCUACUGCGCUUUAGCCUAUCAGCAGGUGCAACCUACUGUUGUUCAAACGGUUGUUGCUCCCGUUGCUAGCUGGUGUCGACCCCAAGUAGUCCAUGUCAAGUGCAAUGUUGACACUGCUUUUAGUGAGGAUGGGAAGUAGGUAGGUUACGGGCUGAUUAUUAGGGAUGAGGAGGGCGCUUUCUUUCACGCAGCCAUCGGCCAUCUUCCUGUUGUGUCUCGGGCAACAAUGGAUGAGGUUAUGACCAUACGGGAACCUCUUUCUUGGCUCAAAUUGGUGUUGGUAAUGCAUAAAAAAAUCAGAAUAUUUUUAGUUGCAGAAAAUCCUAUGCAAUUUUUGGAAAUUUACACGGCUGUUUUACUAUUUUGUCAUUUAGAAAA